rnacentral:rRNA from 1 species
UAAGUGGUGGAAAUUAAACCAACUGGGAUCUCUUCAGUAAUUGCGCAUGAACCAGGAUAUGCUUAGCUUGACARAUGGAGCUGCUGGCUCUGAAUUGUAUUGUGGGAAUGUAUUACCAACAGAGGUGCAGGUCACACUCCUUGGCAUUGGAAUGCAAAGUGGGUGGUAAGUUUCAUGYAAAGGUAAAUAUGCAAUUGAGACUGAUAGCGCACAAGUACCAUGAGGGACAUAUGAAAAGGACUUUGAAAAGAGAAUUAAAUGAGUUUGUAUUUGCUAAACACAAAGUAAACAGACUUGAUUUCCUCAGUGAGAUUGUAGUGCUUUGCUUAACAAUGGGUUUUGGCUGCAAGUGCAAUAAUUCUUGCUUUGUGUGCCCGUUUUUAUGUGGACAUUUGAUUACCUUUGCACAUGAAUGGUAAUUUUCCUGCGGGGUGUGGAUUGCAUAUGCAUGUAAUGAUUUGCAUGUUUGUUAAAUGUGUCUGGWGUAUUUGUUUGUGUCCUUGUCCUUGAGGUUGCUUUCUCCCUUGGGCUUACAUGCCCUGGCACACACAUUCUGGCAAAAUGCUUCUGCUUGACCCG